GUUACACUCACAGCCUCAGUCUGUCUGUCUUUUUUUUUUUUUUGAUAGUGUCUCCCUAUGUAUCCUUCGCUAGUCUGGCCAGGACCUUGCUAUGCAGAGAUUCACCUGCCCCUGCCUCCUGAGUGCUAUACCUGGUUCCUUCUUUUUAAGUUGACUGUCUCAAGCAUUUUGCCACAGCAAACACAGCACAACAGAAAGCUGACUGAGACAGCUGUUCUCCACAGAGCUAGGCAACAGCCAAGCUGGGCUUCGAAUCCAGGCAGGUAGUUCUCAGAGUGUAGCCUCUCCCCUGCAAUGCUGGACCACCUUCUGAAAACAAGGCCACCUCUCUGUUCCCAGGCCACACGUCAAUGGGAUCCACGCCUGGAAAAGGUCUUCGUGCACUUACACAGGGACUUGUUGAUGGCUCAGUCACCACGGAGCACUAACUGUGGCGUCCGAGUUAGAGAAAGGGACAAAAUUACCUCUGUCCAUCGGGAGUGCACAAUCAAACAUAGAGUCUCCUGAUGUUGACCUAUGAACUCUUGGAGCUCAGACCAUCCUUCCACUUGAACUCUGGGGUUGCUGGGCUCACUGGGGCAUGCCAUGAUGCCCAGCUGUUACUAACCCAUCACCACUUUACAAGUGAGGCGCAAACCCAAGAUCACACGGCCUGAAAGUGGCGGAAUGGAGUGGGCUGAUGUCCUAUAGAUGUAAGAAUUUCACUGAUGCAAAACUCAGUUGCCAUUUUCACCAAGUCGCUAUGAUAUUCCCAACUAGGAAACCAAAAAGAAUGACUAGACCUCAAAGAACUGCCAGAAAUGAUUAUUCUUCCCAGGGGAGAGAAUCCACAGCACAGCGGAGGAGCAACGGGCGGCCUUUGGGCUAAGGCCGACCUAGGUUCAGCCAUUUGGAAACCCCUGUCUUCUCCUCUGAGGCAGUAGAUGAGAUGGCGAGUUCUCGACGCCUGCUGCAUUUGCAUUUGUUUAUGUUUGGAAUUCCCUAUAAAGUGACUGAAACCCCAAAUAAA